GAUGAACGCUGACAGAAUGCUUAACACAUGCAAGUCAACUUGAACUUCGGUUUGGGUGGCGGACGGGUGAGUAACGCGUAAAGAACUUGCCUCACAGCUAGGGACAACAUUUGGAAACGAAUGCUAAUACCUGAUAUUAUGAUUUUAGGGCAUCCUAGAAUUAUGAAAGCUAUAUGCGCUGUGAGAGAGCUUUGCGUCCCAUUAGCUAGUUGGAGAGGUAACGGCUCACCAAGGCGAUGAUGGGUAGCCGGCCUGAGAGGGUGAUCGGCCACAAGGGGACUGAGACACGGCCCUUACUCCUACGGGAGGCAGCAGUGGGGAAUAUUGGACAAUGGACCAAGAGUCUGAUCCAGCAAUUCUGUGUGCACGAUGAAGUUUUUCGGAAUGUAAAGUGCUUUCAGUUGGGAAGAAAAAAAUGACGGUACCAACAGAAGAAGUGACGGCUAAAUACGUGCCAGCAGCCGCGGUAAUACGUAUGUCACAAGCGUUAUCCGGAUUUAUUGGGCGUAAAGCGCGUCUAGGUGGUUAUAUAAGUCUGAUGUGAAAGUGCAGGGCUCAACUCUGUAUUGCGUUGGAAACUGUGUAACUAGAGUACUGGAGAGGUAAGCGGAACUACAAGUGUAGAGGUGAAAUUCGUAGAUAUUUGUAGGAAUGCCGAUGGGGAAGCCAGCUUACUGGACAGAUACUGACGCUGAAGCGCGAAAGCGUGGGUAGCAAACAGG
rnacentral:rRNA from 1 species